rnacentral:rRNA from 1 species
AUUGAACGCUGGCGGCAGGCCUAACACAUGCAAGUCGAGCGGAGCGGCGGACGGGUGAGUAAUGCCUAGGAAUCUGCCUGGUAGUGGUGGAUAACGUCCGGAAACGGGCGCUAAUACCGCAUCCUCUCAGAUGAGCCUCGGUCGGAUUAGCUUGUGGGUGGGGGAAGGGCCUACCAAGGCGACGAUCCGUAGCUGGUCUGAGAGGAUGAUCAGUCACACUGGAACUGAGACACGGCCCAGACUCCUACGGGAGGCAGCAGUGGGGAAUUUUGGACAAUGGGCGAAAGCCUGAGCCAGCCAUGCCGCGUGUGUGAAGAAGGUCUUCGGAUUGUAAAGCACUUUGAGUUGGGAAGCGGUACCAACAGAAUAAGCACCGGCUAACUUCGUGCCAGCAGCCGCGGUAAUUC